CCAGCCUUAGAGGUGUUGCAGGUGUGGCUGCUGUGUCACUUGUACAUCAGUAGGUGGCAGAGAGGAGAGAGAGGCUAUGUCUGUGUUAUGACCUCUGGAAAAGGGGAGCCCGAGACAACCACCAGUCCUGUGACAUG
ensembl:snoRNA